GCGGGUGUAGCUCAGGGGUAGAGCUUAUGCUCAGUAUGCAGAAGGCCCUGGGUUCCAUCCCUAGCGCGGGCG
rnacentral:tRNA from 1 species